rnacentral:rRNA from 1 species
UACGUAGGUGGCAAGCGUUGUCCGGAUUUACUGGGCGUAAAGCGUAUGCAGGCGGGCCCUUAAGUAGGAAGUGAAAGGUUGGAGCUCAACUCUAACACUGCUCCCUAUACUGAGGGUCUUGAGUGCCGGAGAGGAAGAGGGAACGACACGUGUAGCGGUGAAAUGCGUUGAGAUGUGUCGAAACACCUAUGGCGAAAGCACUCUUCUGGACGGAAACUGACGCUGAGAUACGAAAGCCAAGGUAGCAAACAGG